GUCAUCAUCAAUUCGUUCUUGGCCACACUACAAGUAUGCCAAAGAUCAGACACCGCCAAUAAUAAUGAUCAUUUUAUUAUAAUUAUUGAAAUCACGGCAAGGCAUGAGAUGUGACAAUGUUGGACCGCAAAGUUCCAGCUGUUACAUACAUAGUAUAUGUUGUCAUUUUAAGUGGUGAAUCUCCACCCUGUUAUGAUAGAGUAGAGGCAAGGCUGCCGUGACCACAAUUCCACCACCGGUUCCUCUUUCUGGAUGGUCCAUUUUCGCACAACAGUCAUAUUUUCCCCAGCGUUUCCCUUCUGUUCACGCCCCCUCUCCUCAUCGUUUGCAAAGUUUCCUAGUUACAGUUUUGUUGGAGCUCAUCUACUGCUCAUUGGGGUGGCAAAACUUUAGGUGGGGAUGGUAGCUGUCUCCCCUUGCCACCCUGUAAAACUGCCUAUGCUCCUUAUUGGAGGUCACGGGUGUGUCGUGACAGCUGCCAAGGUGUCCGGUGACACCUCGGGAUGAAGUUAAGAUUUCAUGAUGCAGUCAUGCAACAAUAGAAAAGACGCAGCGGCUGAUCUGUUAUCUUGCGUAGUGGAAGGGUGCAUUCUUAUGAUAUUAGUCAGAGAGCGAGAGAGACUGCACAGAAAAGCACUCUUCCUUCCCCCUUCCUUCUAAAACACAUUAAGCGUUCGAUGUGCGUCGUGAGGUAAGCAGAGUUUCCGACUGGCUGCUGGUUCACCCGGAAAUUUAAAAGGCGCGUAGCAUCGUAUUGAGGUUGUGGGGAUGGCAUCGUGUGCCAUGUGCGCUUUGACACAGGGCCUCGAGAGACCGAGUGAACGGGGAGUGCCAGCCUGGAGGUGGUGCCAUGCGCAAUUUAAACGCAACGGGUACGGUUGGGUGGAUGCUUGAAGCUGAGGCUCACUCCAUUUUAGAGGAACAAAAGCAGCUGUACUCACUGGAACUCCAGCUGUGCAAUCUCAGCAUCCAGCUGCAUUCUCCUCCUCUCCAGCUCCGCCACCUCUUCUUCAGGACACACUUUAGAAGGCUUGUUUAUUUGACCCUGUGAUGCAAAAAAA